rnacentral:lncRNA from 1 species
GCUGCUACAGGGAAUAAAGUUGGUGUCAUGUGGUUCCAAAGUUUGUGGAAAGUUUGUGUGUGUGUGUGUGUGUGUGUGUGUGUGUGUGUGUGUGUGUGUGUGUGUUGUGUGUGUGAAGUUUUUUUUAGACCUGAGUUCUUCAAAAGUUGUCAGACUAAACUUCCCUUCAGCAAAGUAAGACAACGUCCUUGGAGCUGGUUUUCCAACUUCUUUUGCAAAAAAGAAUCUUGGAUUGGACUGUGUGGCGAAAUCAAAAAAGAAAUAGCAUAAGAGAAAUUGAGGGUAAUUCCACAUAUCCAGGAAAAGACUGCUCGGUGCACAUCUGUAGAGAAUCACCAGGGAAAGGUAAGAAAAAAAGGUGUUCCUUGGGGGGGGGAAGUUAUUUGUUAUUUUGUUAUAGUCUUUUGGAUUGAGUUUUGGGAAGUGACCCUACAUGAAUUUAUUCUCCCUAGGAUUGUUCAGUGAGGAUUUACCUGCAAAGAUCUCCACCCUUCCCCAGGCUUUUCACCCUCCCCUCCUUUCUAGUGUCAUUGAAAAAGCCUCCUCUCCCACCUGUGUUCACUGUGUUGUGAACUCAUCACCUG